GAUGCGCGCCAGCCAACCAGGCCAAGGCCAGGGGACCUCGAGACCGGCAGCCUCGACGAAGAACCGGAAGGAGGAAAAGGAACGGGAGGGAGGAAGAUGAGAUGCGCCUACUUCUCCCUGGAGAAGCUCGAGGAAGCAGGAAUGCUGGAGAUGAGGGCUGUUUUGAAGUCAGUAUUCACUUAAGCACUCCAAAUUGGUCAUGUGAACGUGUGGUGUAGCAGGAGGAGAGAGACCCAGCACACCCUGCCUGCAUGGCGCUGCGCUGCACCUUCACUCUGGUCACGGGUCUGGCAGUCGGCUCACCAAUUCGUCCUGCUUCCCUGGGACUCGCCGGCUUUUAGCACUGCAAUUCACUCAGCAAACUGGGACUGUUGGUCACCCUACCUGGCAGCCAGUGAUAAGGGCUGGUGUCAUUGGCAUGACAGACCUGCCUUGGCUGAGCGUUCACCCGUCUUCGGAGUUCAGCCACCUUAGCAAGUCCUGGGUUUGUUCUUCAGAUUUUGCUGCUCGCCCAUUGCCUGGAU
rnacentral:lncRNA from 1 species